GCCGGGCGUGGUGGCGUGCCCCUGUAAUCCCAGCUACUCGGGAGGCUGAGGCAGGAGAAUCGCCUGAACCUGGGAGGCAGAGGUUGCAGUGAGCCAAGAUCAUGCCAUUGCACUCCAGCCUGGACAACAAGAGUGAAAUUCCGUCUCGGGGAAAAAGAAAAAGAAUGCUAUUAGGAUUCUAUUAUCCUAAUGCUGUUAGAAUGCUAUUAUCCUAAUAGCAUUCUUUUUUUUUUCUGAGAUGGAAUCUCCCUCUGUUGCCCAGGCUGGAGUGCAAUAGUGUGAUCUCGGCUCACUGCAACCUCCACCUCCUGG
rnacentral:lncRNA from 10 species